rnacentral:hammerhead_ribozyme from 1 species
AUCCAGCUGACGUGUCCCAAAUAGGACGAAACGUGUGUUCCGGAU